rnacentral:misc_RNA from 1 species
AAAUCUCAACCUUCUCGGUUUCUUCUGGACACCGAAGGAGGCUUGGACUUUGGAGGCUUUUGCUGGCAUAUCUCCCAGCUCCUCUCAAAUGAAUUAGCGGGGUCCUCUUUGCCGAUCCUCGACAUGUGAUAAGAUGUUUCCGUGUCUUGGUUUAUGGCUCUGUUGCUUUUGGGACCCGCUUCUAGCCGUCUCGUCGAGACAACGUUUGAGCGUGUCUCCCUUCUCGGGAAACGCUCUCAGACCCACGAAC